GACGAACGCUGGCGGCGUGCUUAACACAUGCAAGUAGGACGCAGUUGCGAACGGGUGAGUAACGCGUAGGUAACUACCUAUUAGAGGGGGAUAACUAUUGGAAACGAUAGCUAAUACCGCAUACUAGUAGAUGGACCUGAGUUGUAUUAGCGAGUAGGUAGGGUAAUGGCCUACCUAGGCAACGAUACAUAGCCGAACGUCGAGGGGGUGCGGCCACACUGGGACUGAGACACGGCCCAGACUCCUACGGGCGGCAGCAGUAGGGAAUCUUCGGAAAUGGGGGGAACCCUGACCGAGCAACGCCGCGUUAGUGAAGAAGGUUUUCGGAUCGUAAAGCUCUGUUGUUAAGGAAGCGGUACUUAACCAGAAAGGGACGGCUAACUACGUGCCAGCAGCCGCGGUAAUUC
rnacentral:rRNA from 1 species